GAUAGACGUAAAAGUUAUACAGAGGGCCAACAGAUCGAAGAACCCAGUACCACAUACAAGCCACCUGGUCAGAUUCUGGUGUGACGGAAGGGUUCAAGACGCCACAAGAGCUGUUCGACUUUCAUAAUAAGUUGCUAAAAGUUGUUCCCAGAGGACGCCGCGGCAC